UGAGGAAUAUUGGACAAUGGGCGCAAGCCUGAUCCAGCCAUGCCGCGUGAGUGAAGAAGGCCUUAGGGUUGUAAAACUCUUUCAGAUGGAAAGAUAAUGACGGUACCAUCAGAAGAAGCCCCGGCUAACUUCGUGCCAGCAGCCGCGGUAAUACGAAGGGGGCUAGCGUUGUUCGGAAUCACUGGGCGUAAAGCGCACGCAGGCGGAUCAUUAAGCUAGGGGUGAAAUCCCGGGGCUCAACCUCGGAACUGCCUUUAGAACUGGUGAUCUAGAGUCCGGAAGAGGAUGGUGGAAUUCCUAGUGUAGAGGUGAAAUUCGUAGAUAUUAGGAGGAACACCAGUGGCGAAGGCGGCCAUCUGGUCCGGAACUGACGCUCAGGUGCGAAAGUGUGGGGAGCAAACA
rnacentral:rRNA from 1 species